rnacentral:rRNA from 1 species
GAUGAACGCUGGCGGCGUGCCUAAUACAUGCAAGUCGAGCGAACGGACGAGAAGCUUGCUUCUCUGAUGUUAGCGGCGGACGGGUGAGUAACACGUGGAUAACCUACCUAUAAGACUGGGAUAACUUCGGGAAACCGGAGCUAAUACCGGAUAAUAUUUUGAACCGCAUGGUUCAAAAGUGAAAGACGGUCUUGCUGUCACUUAUAGAUGGAUCCGCGCUGCAUUAGCUAGUUGGUAAGGUAACGGCUUACCAAGGCAACGAUGCAUAGCCGACCUGAGAGGGUGAUCGGCCACACUGGAACUGAGACACGGUCCAGACUCCUACGGGAGGCAGCAGUAGGGAAUCUUCCGCAAUGGGCGAAAGCCUGACGGAGCAACGUCGCGUGAGUGAUGAAGGUCUUCGGAUCGUAAAACUCUGUUAUUAGGGAAGAACAUAUGUGUAAGUAACUGUGCACAUCUUGACGGUACCUAAUCAGAAAGCCACGGCUAACUACGUGCCAGCAGCCGCGGUAAUACGUAGGUGGCAAGCGUUAUCCGGAAUUAUUGGGCGUAAAGCGCGCGUAGGCGGUUUUUUAAGUCUGAUGUGAAAGCCCACGGCUCAACCGUGGAGGGUCAUUGGAAACUGGAAAACUUGAGUGCAGAAGAGGAAAGUGGAAUUCCAUGUGUAGCGGUGAAAUGCGCAGAGAUAUGGAGGAACACCAGUGGCGAAGGCGACUUUCUGGUCUGUAACUGACGCUGAUGUGCGAAAGCGUGGGGAUCAAACAGGAUUAGAUACCCUGGUAGUCCACGCCGUAAACGAUGAGUGCUAAGUGUUAGGGGGUUUCCGCCCCUUAGUGCUGCAGCUAACGCAUUAAGCACUCCGCCUGGGGAGUACGACCGCAAGGUUGAAACUCAAAGGAAUUGACGGGGACCCGCACAAGCGGUGGAGCAUGUGGUUUAAUUCGAAGCAACGCGAAGAACCUUACCAAAUCUUGACAUCCUUUGACAACUCUAGAGAUAGAGCCUUCCCCUUCGGGGGACAAAGUGACAGGUGGUGCAUGGUUGUCGUCAGCUCGUGUCGUGAGAUGUUGGGUUAAGUCCCGCAACGAGCGCAACCCUUAAGCUUAGUUGCCAUCAUUAAGUUGGGCACUCUAAGUUGACUGCCGGUGACAAACCGGAGGAAGGUGGGGAUGACGCCAAACCAUCAUGCCCCUUAUGAUUUGGGCUACACACGUGCUACAAUGGACAAUACAAAGGGCAGCGAAACCGCGAGGUCAAGCAAAUCCCAUAAAGUUGUUCUCAGUUCGGAUUGUAGUCUGCAACUCGACUACAUAAAGCUGGAAUCGCUAGUAAUCGUAGAUCAGCAUGCUACGGUGAAUACGUUCCCGGGUCU